UUUUAACCUCUGUUUUUUGACUGAGGUCAAAUUUAACAUCUGUUCUUAUCAGUUAAAUAUCUCCCACAUCCUUGACUUGAAGAUGUCAUAUUAAACAGAUUUUUUGGGACUGAAAUGUGGGCUAGAACUUCUUCCAUAGCUCCCAUACAUCUGCCUGUUAUUGCAGUGUCUCCAGGAGCAGCACACCAA
ensembl:snRNA U2 U2 spliceosomal RNA